rnacentral:rRNA from 1 species
CCUACGGGAGGCAGCAGUGGGGAAUAUUGCACAAUGGGGGAAACCCUGAUGCAGCGACGCCGCGUGAGUGAAGAAGUAAUUCGUUACGUAAAGCUCUAUCAGCAGGGAAGAAAUACUGACCUUACGGUCAGCAGACGGUACCUGAGUAAGAAGCCCCGGCUAACAACGUGCCAGCAGCCGCGGUAAUACGUAGGGGGCAAGCGUUAUCCGGGUUUAAUGGGUGUAAAGGGGGCGUAGACGGUGCGCCAAGUCUGGUGUGAAAUGCCGCAGCUUAACUGCGGAACUGCUGUGGAAACUGGCGAACUAGAGUGCGGGAGGGGUAAGCGGAAUUACUGGUGUAGCGGUGAAAUGCGUAGAUAUUAGGAGGAACACCGGUGGCGAAGGCGGCUUACUGGUCCGUAACUGACGUUGAGGCUCGAAAGCGUGGGGAGCAAACAGGAUUAGAUACCCCGGUAGUC